UACGUAGGGUGCGAGCGUUGUCCGGAAUUAUUGGGCGUAAAGGGCUCGUAGGCGGUUUGUCGCGUCGGGAGUGAAAACUCAGGGCUUAACCCUGAGCCUGCUCCCGAGUACGGGUGGACUAGAGGUAGGCAGGGGAGAAUGGAAUUCCGGGUGUAGUGGUGAAAUGCGUAGAGAUCCGGAGGAACACCAGGUGGCGAAGGCGAUCUGCUAGGCCUGACCUGACACUCAGACGCGACAGCAUGGGGAGCGAACGGG
rnacentral:rRNA from 1 species